rnacentral:rRNA from 1 species
UACGUAGGGUGCGAGCGUUGUCCGGAAUUAUUGGGCGUAAAGGGCUCGUAGGCGGUUUGUCGCGUCGGGAGUGAAAACACCGGGCUUAACUCGGUGCUUGCUUUCGAUACGGGCAGACUAGAGGUAUUCAGGGGAGAACGGAUUCCGGUGUAGGCGGUGAAAGUGACGCAGAUAUCAGGAGGAACACCGGUGGCGAAGGCGGGUCUCUGGGCCGAUACUGACGCUGAGGAGCGAAAGCAUGGGUAGCGAACAGG